CGUGCCUCAUAUAUGCAAGUCGAACGAGAAAGUGAUUUUCGAAUCGCGAGUAAAGUGGCGAACCGGGUGAGUAACGCGUGGGUAAUCUGCCCUCGAUGGGGAAUAACAUUCCUAACGGGAUGCUAAUACCGCAUAACACCACCGUAUCGCAUGGUACGGUGGUCAAAGGUGGCCUCUACUUGUAAGCUAUCGCUUGAGGAUGAGCCCGCGUUUCAUUAGCUUGUUGGUGAGGUAACGGCUCACCAAGGCAGCGAUGAAUAGCCGGCCUGAGAGGGUGUCCGGCCACACUGGGACUGAGAUACGGCCCAGACUCCUACGGGAGGCAGCAGUAGGGAAUUUUGCGCAAUGGGGGGAAAACCCUGACGCAGCAACGCCGCGUGGGUGAUGAAGCUCCUUGGAGUGUAAAACCCUGUCAGGAGGGAAGAAGCUAUCAUCGGGAUAACACCUCGAUGACGUGACGGUACCUCCAGAGGAAGCUCCGGCUAACUCCGUG
rnacentral:rRNA from 1 species